UAACGGUAACCUUUUCAGAAUUCAUUCCGACAAGUUUUAAACACAACCUUCCUCUUCACGAACUUUAACCACAGGACGCCCGCGAUUUCUGGUUUCUUGUCGUAAAAUGGGGAGCCAAGUACUCGCUGUUAUUUUCGUCGUUAGUGUUGCCUUUGCGUGCUUAGUCCCGGAUACUUGUGGGUUUGUUAGUGGAGGGGGUAGACGCGAACGGGACAGUCUCGCGAGGCAAUUACACGCAAGAAGUCUCAAAAAGCGCAUCUUGGAACUUUCUAGACGCGAGGAAGACAUUUGUGCGGCAGCGAGGGGACUCAACUGCGCACGCGCAGUAGAACAUCAAUAGGAGACAAAAAAUAUGAAUCUGUUAUGGUGGACUGAGAACUCGAUGGAAGCAAGCGUGCAACAAAUGCCAGAAAGUGGAGGGCAAAAGCAACAUCUGAGUUAGAGCAAAGAUGAAAUGGUUACCCUCAAACGAAUGAAAAUAUCACUUUGUUAUACCUUCACAAACGCCUUGAAAUGAAAUGUAAAAUGCGGAAUAAAAUAAUGCCUAUGAUAA